ensembl:lncRNA
GUUUCUCGGAGGGCGGAGCCAGAGAGCAGUGAUUGGUCAGACCAUAGAUAAUAUAGAAGACAGCGCCCUGGCGUAUCUAGUCUAUGUGUAUCUAUGGUCGGCACGUCUGGUAGCAUCUCUGGCUGCUGUUGAUCUUGUUUUUGGAGUAAAACACGGUGGAAGCUGAAUUAGUGAGGAUGACUCCUGCUCCUGUCAUCUCUAAGCUCCUCACACAUCUUUACCUGCACAUGAGGAAAAUCACUCCUGUAGAAUGCAGUGGUUCAUCAGAACCUCUGGGGAUGUCCUGUGGAUUCUGUGGAUCCUGUGGGUUGCAGGGUGGGUCCUACCUAGACCAGGCUGAUCCUGGACCAUCCCACAGAUGCUCCAUCAGAUCUGGAUGUGGGGAGUGUGGAACCCAGAUGUUCAGAUGGAGAUGAUGCCACAUCUGGUCCAGCUGAUGGAAGGUCUUGAAGUUCUCUGACUGGCCUCGACUGAAGAUGGUCGUCUCACUGGAUUUAAGGUUCAGAUGCUCAGUAACAAACUCCACCAAUGUGCCAACAGGGAAGCUUUAGGUUUAUUAAAUGUUGCUAUGAAGGUAUCGCUGUUUUUCUUUGUGAAUGCAAUGUGCUCCAACUGAAACUUGAAUUAGAACUUAGAAGUAAAUCCUUCCAUCUGAAAGGAUUUAGUUGCAUUAAUAACCUCAUAACAUUCUAAUUUUUAUUCCAGUCUUGGUUGGAAAUAGAAUCUCUGUAUUGAUUCAGGUAAGAACUGAACUUCACAGCAUGUUGGAGCAAAACAACCAGAUGAAAACUGUGAUGGUGUUGGAUUGUCAGACCGUAAUGUUGCAGCGCAAAGCAGCUUUUCUAGCUCAGUUCAUUCUGACAUUCAGCUAUGAAUCAACACAGCAGAUGGUGAUCCAUGCUGUGGAAGUCUCACAUCUCCUGAUUUAAUGGAGCUGCUUUGCACUUUUUACACUGUUUAUUCACCAACACUUUAUUUAAUAAAAGUCCCAUCUAGUUUUUAUGAGGAAUGUGGUGUUUUAAUUUCUCUGUGAAUAACUGCAGUCUAAUGCAACAGCUGGAGUUGUAACAUCUGUCCUGAUAUUGAUCAUGAAGUAUUGAUCAGAAUACUUAUGGUUAGCAGUCAUCCCUGAAGUUUUACAUUAAAAUCUUUACUUGUGUUGUGAACUUUGGUAAGAAACAGAAAUGUUAGCGUUGCCAUGGAUACAUGAGUGUUAAAUUCUGUCCAUGUUUCCAUUUUGGGAAAUGCAGUCCAGUUCCAGAAUGUGGAGGAAUUUAGUCUCACAAUCACAGACAACAAAUAUUAUCUGAAAGUCGGGUUAUUGUUGUUUAUCAGCACAAUACAAAGAUUGUUAGAAAUAUUCCAGUUAAGACUCUAGAAUAUCAUGAUUUAUGUAAAUUUACCUCAGUAAUAUGAAUGUUCAGGUUAAGAUUGUACAGUGAUAUUUAUUAUGCAAGUUUAGCUGAUUAAAGUUUAUGACUCUGCACUAAAAUAUUACUUAAAUUGACAUCAUUAUUAUAAUAUUUAGGGUCAGACCCUACAGUAUUGAGAUUAAGAAAUCAAAUAUUCUAUAAAAUGUAAAUACACUGAACUCAUUUGGAUAUAUUUAAGUGAGACUCUACAAUAUUAUUUGACACAAAUCUGUCUAAAUCAAAAUUUUAAUAAUUUUCACGCCAAACAUUUACUGGACUGAUUUAAAUAUUAAAAUCACUCCUUUCUAAUCCUCUGCUGUACGUUCAAACCUGAGGCCUUAAAUAGAAACACACAAGUAUCUGAUGGAAGGAACUUCUGCAGAGUCCUGGUUCCAGAACAUGAUGAUAGAAUUAUAGACAAACUUUAACAAAAGCUGCCUGAGAGUUUACAGGUUUUUAUGUUGGAUUUCUUCAGUAAUUUAAUGAGUUAUCAGCAAUAAUCAAGUGUUUAUUUGAUGAACUUCAUUUCCUAAAACAUCCAGAAUUGGAGCUCAUAUCUUUGGCAGCUGUAAAGUUUCUGCUCCUUCAAAGUUCACAACACAAUGAAUGAAUUCCUAAAACACUCUCAAUGCUGGAGAGCGUUUGUGAUGCUGAAGCAGUGAUCAGUUUUUCUGUUUCUUCUCUGGAGAUGCACAAUGAGGGACGUCUGCAGCGACUGAGAAAGAGUCUCACCACAUCCUGACAUGAGGAAAAAGACUUUAUUGAAGACUACAAUGAGAAAAACUAUCAGACAGCAGACGGCUGCAUUCAAGCUGAGCUCUGAACAUUUGAUCUGGAACAGGAAUUCAAUAACGGCAGCAUGAGCUUCAUUUCAGUCUGUAGCUGCUGAAUUCAUGGAUGAAUCAUCUGGCACUAGAGAAGAAGACCAUCAAACAUCCAUGUCAGCUGAUGGAGGUCCAAGAGUCUCACCAAAAAAACAACCUACAGAGUGAAGACCUUGAAUCUGAUUGGACGGCCUCCUAUUCAGCCACAUGCUACAGGAGGAGCCCUAUGAGGAUGAGCUGGUCCACCUGAUGGAGGCCAGUCGCUGUGGUUCAAAGCCAACACCGACUACGUGGACUUCUACUGGACCACAUGGAGACCUUCAAACCGGACCAACAAGUUCAGCGACUCCCCGACUCGUGGGUCUGAGGAUGCCGCCGAGCCUCGGUCCAGCCGGCCUCCUGUCUGUGGGUGUUUGAGUGCUGAGAGACCUGACCGUGAACAUCGUUGACACCCACCUGAGGGAGACGCUGCCUAAGAUCUCAAGGCUGCUUGGUCGUGGUCUUUCUGGUCCUGCUCCAGAACGCCUUCAUCAACUACAUCUUCUUUUGAUGAGGCCCUCAUAUGCUGCAAUCGGUGACCUUAAGGAGGAACUGCUACUUUCACUCUGUAACGAGACGGCGGUUAUUUUAAAGACCCAGCUCCUGGUGGCUUUGAGUGAAAGUUUAACACCCAUCAAAAUGGAACUACAGACAAUUAAAUCUGAGCUGUUGAUCAGUAUUUCAAACAUCAAGUUUGACCUGGCUGCCCUAAAGCACGCUGUGGGUGAAACGGAAACUUCACUCUCCACAUCACCAACAACAUUGUCACACUCCAAAGCAGAGCAGCUGUCUGCUGAACUUUUAAAAGUGGACUAUAAAUGUGAAGAAUGUGAGCAGCAGCAGACUGUGAGCAGCGGAACAGACGUGAUCAGAAAGAAG